UUGAUUUCUAUUUCAAAUUAA
ensembl:piRNA 21ur-10573 ncRNA